CAUCUCUCAGGGUCACACCUGGAGAGUUUUCAGUACCCUACCAGUCUCGACUAGAGGAGGGAGAGUCAAGCAGAGGUCUACCCAUUCUGUUACUAGCUUGGCCAGUAGCUAGCGAGUGGAAGGCAAUCUGCUACACGU